UGGGGAAUAUUGGACAAUGGGCGGAAGCCUGAUCCAGCAAUACCGCGUGUGUGAAGAAGGCCUUAGGGUUGUAAAGCACUUUCAAUAGGGAGGAAAAAGGUAAGCUUAAUACGUUUGCCCUUGACAUUACCUAUACAAGAAGCACCGGCUAACUCCGUGCCAGCAGCCGCGGUAAUACGGAGGGUGCAAGCGUUAAUCGGAAUUACUGGGCGUAAAGCGUGCGUAGGCGGCCUGUUAAGUCAGAUGUGAAAGCCCCGGGCUCAACCUGGGAACUGCAUUUGAAACUGGCAAGCUAGAGUUGGGUAGAGGGGAGUGGAAUUUCAGGUGUAGCGGUGAAAUGCGUAGAUAUCUGAAGGAACACCAGUGGCGAAGGCGACUCCCUGGACUCAAACUGACGCUGAGGCACGAAAGCGUGGGUAGCAAACAGGAUUAGAUACCCUCGUAGUCCCUGAGCGGGCUGGCAAGGCGCAU
rnacentral:rRNA from 1 species